CUGAUUCAGAUCACAGGUCAUGGUGUACCUUGAAAAGCAGCGGUUUGAAGUUCACUGUUAAGCAGGGAUGUGAUUCUAUAAAGCUUGUCUAGAAAUAUUCAUAUAGAUACUAUAUAGGAUAAAUUGAAAAAAAGAAAAACUCAAGGUGAGAAAGAUAAUCUAGGAAACCACUUUAAUAAUCCAGUUAAAAGGUAAUGAAAGCCCUACCUAUUUGUGGGAAUAGCAUAGGAAAUUGUAAGACGGUGAAGAAUUGGCCUGCUAUGAGAAUUGACUGGAAAGCAAAGAACAAGAGAGGAAAUAAAUAAUUAGCUAUAGGCUUAUAGCCUGGGUGAUAGGAAGAAACAGGGUGCCUGUGGCGGAAAUGUCCAGAAGAAACACGAGAUUCAGAAGAAGGUGAUGAGUUUGGUUUUAGACACGCUAAUUUGAGGAAAAGAAGACAUUACUGAUUUUGAAAGAACAACCUAAGAGAAUACUCUUAAGAAAAGCAGGGGAAAUAAGACACUGCAGGGGUUACAGGAGCGAGGAGGUAGUGAGGUGUACACAUCUGCUGGACUUAGCCUCGAAAGAUGAACCCUCCAUGAACCACACUCUCUGGUAUUCACACCUUGUGCAGAUUCCCUACCCUGUAAAUCACUCCACUGCAUGAUACCUGUACCAAUUCUGCUCACAAGGAGAAUGUGAUGCUGGCUACAGGCAUACCUCGGAGGUACUGCAGGGUCUGUUCCAGACCACUGCAAUAAAGGUCAUACCACAAAGAAGCAAGUCAUCCAGUGUCUGCUGAUGGGCCUCCUGCAUGACCUUGGCUGCUCUGCAUGUGUACUGGACCUGUCACCAUCACUGAAUGAAGAAGACAAUCCAAUCGACCAUCAUUGAUCCCUUCAUUAAACAUGACAGCAGGACUUGGGGGCCAGCUGAGCAAUGGUGUGGCAGGUUAACAGUAGGAACAUCCUCUCCCUGAUGGCAGUUAUUCUCAUGUACUCAUAACAUUAAUUGGAAUGGGUUCACUCAGUUCUGCAGUAUUUUAAGUGAUGGUUUUAAAAGAAUCUUUGUUUAUUUGA